rnacentral:lncRNA from 1 species
CCAUGACAGGCGCGUGGGCCCAAUGGACAUAGUCCACUAAGCCCAAGCAAGCCUAUUAAUCUGACAUAUUCAUCAUUCCAUCAUAACUUCUAAGUCAUAUUUCAUAACUUAGAAUCAAAAUAAAAUUAUACAUUUGCCAUCUCAUACUGGCAUACCAAACAAGUGUAUAUACAUUGUCUACAACAUGUAUCUUAGCAAUUUACAUUAGGUUUGUCUAUACACAACAAAAUAAUACUCGACUUCCAGCGGAGGGACUUGGAUGAAUGUACAACUACUGAAUGCCGAGACACCUACCAAAAGAUGGAUACAAGUCUAUAAGGACACCUCGUCCUAGUUACCGGCUGCCUCGUGAUCUAAAAACAUGGAGUUGAAAAUGGUGAGUAUAAACUCAGUGAGUGAACAAGGAAGGGAACAAGCAACCAUAAGCAAGAAUUUCAAAUCAUGAUGCACUUGUUUUAAAACAAUGCAAUUUAAUUUCAUUCAUAUUAAAAACCCCUCGUUAAACCCUUAUAUGAUUAAUCAAUUGGUAAUGAGGAACCCAUACAUAACAGAUAAUUUAAAGAAUGAAGGCUAUAGUGAUACACCAAUAAGACAAAUGCGACGACGAAUCUUCGCUGCAGCGGGAAGGCAUUCUCGCUACAACGACGUUGGAAUUAAGUUAUUAGCCGAACGUGGGUUUCUCAACCAGCCAAGGGUUUUUCACUAAACCACCUCAUUUUAAACUUAACUCAUUUAGUCCUUAAUGUUGGAAGUCCAUGCCCAUAUAUGGUAGCAAAGAAGUGAAAAAUAGGGCAGCAAUUGGACAAGAUAGGAGACAAAAAUAGAAGGUUUUUCAAUCUCACUACAGCGAAAUUGUAACCCAAAAAUAGAAGGUUUCUCUCUGCAACAAAAUUCAGCUGAUGAAACAGAAGUUUCUCGCUGCAGCGAGAUUCCUUUUCGUUGCAGCGAGAAGCUACAGUGACUAUCUCACUACAGCGAGAACUAGUUCUAGUGAAGGUUCUCAAACCUGAGAGUUUCUCGCUGCAGCGAAAAUAGAGCAACAAGAGAAAAGUUUCCCCUCACUCAACAAAAAGGCCAUCCUGCUAAACCAACAAAAUAAACAUACAGCACAUGAAAUUUUGUAAAGUGCAAUGUAUCAAAUUUCUCAUAUAUGUCAAUCAUAUAUCACAUUCAUAAGUUUUCAUUUCAUAAGUCUAGAUGUGCAUAAUUACAUAGAUAAACAUCAACAUCAUCAUAAUCACACUCGGCUCAUGUACAUCCCCCCACACCGUGCACAUAAUCGGCACCAUCGUGUGCAUCCCCCCCCCCCCAACAUCGUGCACAAUCAGUGCCAUCGUGUACAUCCCCCCACAUCGUGCACACGAGCACUAUCAUCAUCCAUCUCUCACACCACCAUCAUCAUCGGCAUGUGCAUUCCCCCACAUCAUGCACAUACAUGGUUACAAUUAUUAUACACAAUAUCAUUUAUCAUGCACAACACACAUUUAUAUAUAUAUCAUCAUAAUGCAAUAGUGCAUGAAUCCAUAGCAAUAAUAUAUCACAACAUAAAACCAUUGACAAAAGCUUGUUCCCAAGGCACUUGUUUUUAUGAAAACUUGAUAAUUCAUUUAAAUGGGUGGCAAAUACAUUAUAUCUCCUAAACAAGCUUUGAAGGCAGUCCACUCACCAAUUUAUUGUUGAGCCUUUAGUUGACUCUAAUUUCCCUAAUGAUCCAAUUGGAAGGAUGGGACUUCAUUAGAACCUAGGAUCACAUUAGCAUAAAUAACAGGUCAAUCACACACUAUGAACCUUAAAAGCUAUCUCUUAGCUAGCUUUCAAUUGCCACAUUAAAUGGCUAUCUAUGUUCACUAUCUAAAUCAUUAUAAAAUGAAUGAACAUCCUCAACCAUAAAACAGUUCAUAAUCUAAAUUUCUAGCCAUUAUCCACAGCUAAAAACUAAGCUUAGUGCAGCACUUACCCUAGGGUUCCUUUGUAGUUGAAUUCUCUUCAAUAGCUUUUGAAUCAAUGGGGUAAUUCUCUCCUUCUCUCUCUAGAACGCCCAACUAGUCAGAGAAAGUAUGAAAAUAAGAUUUAUCAAGGGUUUUGAAGUGAGAGAGUGAAAGAGCACAAGGGUUUAUGGAAGGGUACACCAAAAGCAUGAAAAUUGGAGCUAAAGAGAGAAAGUUAUGGAAGCUUGAAGAAAACUCCCAUGGAGGAAUUGAAGAAACGUGAGAGGGAAGAAGGAAGAAGAA